rnacentral:rRNA from 1 species
UACGUAGGGGGCAAGCGUUGUCCGGAAUCAUUGGGCGUAAAGCGCGUGUAGGCGGCUGGGUAAGUCCGCUUUGAAAGCCCGGGGCUCAACCCCGGGAGGCGGGUGGAUACUGCUCAGCUCGAGUCCGGAAGAGGAGUGUGGAAUUCCUGGUGUAGCGGUGAAAUGCGCAGAUAUCAGGAGGAACACCAAUGGCGAAGGCAGCACUCUGGGACGGUACUGACGCUGAGGUGCGAAAGCGUGGGGAGCAAACAGG